rnacentral:rRNA from 1 species
AUUGAACGCUGGCGGCAGGCCUAACACAUGCAAGUCGAACGAGUGGCGGACGGGUGAGUAAUGUCUGGGAAACUGCCUGAUGGAGGGGGAUAACUACUGGAAACGGUAUCUAAUACCGCAUACCAUCAGAUGUGCCCAGCUGGGAUUAGCUGGUGGGGGGGGUAAGGGCUCACAAAGGCGACGAUCCCUAGCUGGUCUGAGAGGAUGACCAGCAAAACUGGAACGGAGACACGGUCCAUACUCCUACGGGAGUCAGCAGUGGGGAAUAUUGCACAAGGGGCGCAAGCCUGAUGCGGCCAGGCCGCGUGUAUGAAGAAGGCCUUCGGGUUGUAAAGUACUUUCAGCGGGGAGGCGUUACCCGCAGAAGAAGCACCGGCUAACUCCGUGCCAGCAGCCGCGGUAAUUC